GGGAAACCCAAGUGCUAUUAUGGACUAAAUAUAAUUAUUAGGUACACUAUGAACAGAAAAUUCGAUACAAGCCAAAUUAUCAUUUUGAAUUGCAGCAAACUUUGAAGACUAGAUUCACAAAAUGCAAAUGAUACACUUUUUCAUGAAUGAGUAAACAACCCGACAUCCAAAUUAGAAUCAAAAUGUCAUGUGGAACAUAUACCUGUCGAAAGGAAGUAGCA
rnacentral:misc_RNA from 1 species